rnacentral:rRNA from 1 species
AUUGAACGCUGGCGGCAGGCCUAACACAUGCAAGUCGAACGGUAACAGGAAGCAGCUUGCUGCUUUGCUGACGAGUGGCGGACGGGUGAGUAAUGUCUGGGAAACUGCCCGAUGGAGGGGGAUAACUACUGGAAACGGUAGCUAAUACCGCAUAACGUCGCAAGACCAAAGAGGGGGACCUUAGGGCCUCUUGCCAUCGGAUGUGCCCAGAUGGGAUUAGCAAGUAGGUGGGGUAACGGCUCACCUAGGCGACGAUCCCUAGCUGGUCUGAGAGGAUGACCAGCCACACUGGAACUGAGACACGGUCCAGACUCCUACGGGAGGCAGCAGUGGGGAAUAUUGCACAAUGGGCGCAAGCCUGAUGCAGCCAUGCCGCGUGUAUGAAGAAGGCCUUCGGGUUGUAAAGUACUUUCAGCGGGGAGGAAGGGAGUAAAGUUAAUACCUUUGCUCAUUGACGUUACCCGCAGAAGAAGCACCGGCUAACUCCGUG